UCAAGUGAAUAAGCGCAUACGGUGGAUGCCUUGGCAGUCAGAGGCGAUGAAAGACGUGGUAGCCUGCGAUAAGCUUCGGGGAGGUGGCAAACAACCUUUGAUCCGGAGAUCUCUGAAUGGGGGAACCCAGUCAGCAUAAGCUGAUUAUCAUACACUGAAUACAUAGGUGUAUGAGGCGAACCAGGGGAACUGAAACAUCUAAGUACCCUGAGGAAAAGAAAUCAACCGAGAUUCCCUUAGUAGUGGCGAGCGAACGGGGACUAGCCCUUAAGUUGAUUUGAGAUUAGCGGAACGCUCUGGAAAGUGCGGCCAUAGUGGGUGAUAGCCCUGUACGCGAAAAUCUCUUAUCAAUGAAAUCGAGUAGGACGGAGCACGAGAAACUUUGUCUGAAUAUGGGGGGACCAUCCUCCAAGGCUAAAUACUACUGACUGACCGAUAGUGAACUAGUACCGUGAGGGAAAGGCGAAAAGAACCCCGGAGAGGGGAGUGAAAUAGAUCCUGAAACCGUAUGCGUACAAGCAGUGGGAGCAGACUUUGUUCUGUGACUGCGUACCUUUUGUAUAAUGGGUCAGCGACUUAUUUUCAGUGGCAAGCUUAACCGAAUAGGGGAGGCGUAGCGAAAGCGAGUCUUAAUAGGGCGACAGUCGCUGGGAAUAGACCCGAAACCGGGCGAUCUAUCCAUGGGCAGGUUGAAGGUUGGGUAACACUAACUGGAGGACCGAACCGACUACCGUUGAAAAGUUAGCGGAUGACCUGUGGAUCGGAGUGAAAGGCUAAUCAAGCUCGGAGAUAGCUGGUUCUCCUCGAAAGCUAUUUAGGUAGCGCCUCAUGUAUCACUGUAGGGGGUAGAGCACUGUUUCGGCUAGGGGGUCAUCCCGACUUACCAAACCGAUGCAAACUCCGAAUACCUACAAGUGCCGAGCAUGGGAGACACACGGCGGGUGCUAACGUCCGUCGUGAAAAGGGAAACAACCCAGACCGUCAGCUAAGGUCCCAAAGUUAUGGUUAAGUGGGAAACGAUGUGGGAAGGCUUAGACAGCUAGGAGGUUGGCUUAGAAGCAGCCACCCUUUAAAGAAAGCGUAAUAGCUCACUAGUCGAGUCGGCCUGCGCGGAAGAUGUAACGGGGCUCAAACCAUACACCGAAGCUACGGGUAUCACUUAGGUGAUGCGGUAGAGGAGCGUUCUGUAAGCCUGUGAAGGUGAGUUGAGAAGCUUGCUGGAGGUAUCAGAAGUGCGAAUGCUGACAUGAGUAACGACAAUGGGUGUGAAAAACACCCACGCCGAAAGACCAAGGUUUCCUGCGCAACGUUAAUCGACGCAGGGUUAGUCGGUCCCUAAGGCGAGGCUGAAAAGCGUAGUCGAUGGAAAACAGGUUAAUAUUCCUGUACUUCUGGUUAUUGCGAUGGAGGGACGGAGAAGGCUAGGCCAGCUUGGCGUUGGUUGUCCAAGUUUAAGGUGGUAGGCUUAAAUCUUAGGUAAAUCCGGGAUUUUUUAAGGCCGAGAGCUGAUGACGAGUUAUCUUUUAGAUGACGAAGUGGUCGAUGCCAUGCUUCCAGGAAAAGCUUCUAAGCUUCAGGUAACUAGGAACCGUACCCCAAACCGACACAGGUGGUUGGGUAGAGAAUACCAAGGCGCUUGAGAGAACUCGGGUGAAGGAACUAGGCAAAAUGGCACCGUAACUUCGGGAGAAGGUGCGCCGGUGAGGGUGAAGUAUUUACUACGUAAGCCCAUGCCGGUCGAAGAUACCAGGCCGCUGCGACUGUUUAUUAAAAACACAGCACUCUGCAAACACGAAAGUGGACGUAUAGGGUGUGACGCCUGCCCGGUGCCGGAAGGUUAAUUGAUGGGGUUAGCUAACGCGAAGCUCUUGAUCGAAGCCCCGGUAAACGGCGGCCGUAACUAUAACGGUCCUAAGGUAGCGAAAUUCCUUGUCGGGUAAGUUCCGACCUGCACGAAUGGCGUAACGAUGGCGGCGCUGUCUCCACCCGAGACUCAGUGAAAUUGAAAUCGCUGUGAAGAUGCAGUGUAUCCGCGGCUAGACGGAAAGACCCCGUGAACCUUUACUAUAGCUUUGCACUGGACUUUGAAUUUGCUUGUGUAGGAUAGGUGGGAGGCUUUGAAGCGUGGACGCUAGUCUGCGUGGAGCCAAUCUUGAAAUACCACCCUGGCAACUUUGAGGUUCUAACUCUGGUCCGUUAUCCGGAUCGAGGACAGUGUAUGGUGGGUAGUUUGACUGGGGCGGUCUCCUCCUAAAGAGUAACGGAGGAGUACGAAGGUGCGCUCAGACCGGUCGGAAAUCGGUCGUAGAGUAUAAAGGCAAAAGCGCGCUUGACUGCGAGACAGACACGUCGAGCAGGUACGAAAGUAGGUCUUAGUGAUCCGGUGGUUCUGUAUGGAAGGGCCAUCGCUCAACGGAUAAAAGGUACUCCGGGGAUAACAGGCUGAUACCGCCCAAGAGUUCAUAUCGACGGCGGUGUUUGGCACCUCGAUGUCGGCUCAUCACAUCCUGGGGCUGAAGCCGGUCCCAAGGGUAUGGCUGUUCGCCAUUUAAAGUGGUACGCGAGCUGGGUUUAGAACGUCGUGAGACAGUUCGGUCCCUAUCUGCCGUGGACGUUUGAGAUUUGAGAGGGGCUGCUCCUAGUACGAGAGGACCGGAGUGGACGAACCUCUGGUGUUCCGGUUGUCACGCCAGUGGCAUUGCCGGGUAGCUAUGUUCGGGAAAGAUAACCGCUGAAAGCAUCUAAGCGGGAAACUUGCCUCGAGAUGAGAUCUCACUGGAACCUUGAGUUCCCUAAAGGGCCGUCGAAGACUACGACGUUGAUAGGUUGGGUGUGUAAGCGCUGUGAGGCGUUGAGCUAACCAAUACUAAUUGCCCGUGAGGCUUGACCAU
rnacentral:rRNA from 1 species